CUCCUGCUUUGGCAAGCAAGGGCUGGACACGAUUCAGCCAUGGCUGAAAAGGUGGAACAUCACCGUAAACGCUGACAAAUCCACCUACGUCACGUUUACACUCAGAACAGGCAACUGUCCACCCGUCCACAUCAACGGCACCAACAUACCGUCCAAUGCGAAGGCCAAGUACCUGGGAGUAACAAUUAAAUACUUGUAAUUUUUCCUAUGUUCCUCCUAUUUAAAAACCUGCAUUAGAGCUUUUAAACGAGUGUUAUUGUGGACCGGUACUAUUACUUUGAACAAAUUAGAGUGAAAUAAGACCUCUGUUCUGCUUUCAUUGGUUUUCAAAUCAAGAGGUAAUGAUUAAUAGAAGCAGUUUGGGGGUAUUAGUAUUAAGACGCGAGAGGUGAAAUUCUUGGACCGUCGUAAGACUAACUUAAGCGAAAGCAUUUGCCAAAGAUGUUUUCAUUAAUCGCCCUAGUUCUAACCAUAAACGAUGCCACCUAGCAAUUGGGUGCUCUUAUGGGCAAUUAUGGCUCUCUCAGUCGCUUCCCGAGAAACCGAAGCUUUUGGGCUCCGGGGGAAGUAUGGUUGCAAAGCUGAAACUUAAAGGAAUUGACGGAAGGGCACCACCGGCUUAAUUUGACUCAACACGGGAAAACUUACCAGGUCCGAACAUAAGUGUGUAAGACAGAUUGAUAGCUCUUUCUCGAAUCUAUAGAUGAUGGUGCAUGGCCGUUCUUAGUUCGUGGAGUGAUUUGUCUGGUUAAUUCCGAUAACGAACGAGGCUCAAAUAUAUUAAAUAGAUAUCUGCAGGAUUAUGGUGCUGAAGCUUAUAUAGCCUUCAUUCAUAGUGGCAGUAAAAUGUUUAUUGUGUUUGAAUAUGUUAAUGAAAGUGGAAUCGUACCUGUUGGUUUGUCCCAUUGUAAGGACACUAGCUUCUUAAAUGGACAAAUUGCGUCUAGCAAUAAUGAGAUUGAGGAAUAACAGGUGUGUGAUGCCCUUAGAUGUCCUGGGCUGCACGCGCGCUACAAUGAAAGUAUCAACGUGUAUUUCCUAGCCCGAGAGGUCCGGGUAAACCACUCAACCACUUUCAUUCUUGGGAUUGUGAACUGAAACUGUUCACAUGAACUUGGAAUUCCCAGUAAGUGUGAGUCAUUAACUCGCAUUGAUUACGUCCCUGCCAUUUGUACACACCUGCGGAAGGAUCAUUAUUG
rnacentral:rRNA from 1 species